CUGCAAUGAUAGCAAUAGUUUUCGUGAAUGGUAGUUCACCUAGUGAGUGUUGAUACUUUGGAUCUCAGAGG